AGAAGUUCAAAUCCAGUAAUUAAAUGUUGAUCGCAUAAGGCAGGCUGAUGGUAUCUUGGUCGAAGAAUUUUAUUCCUACUGGAUGGAACUAGAACUGUUCUUCCUAAAUAUGUUGGCAUGCAAAGAACAAUAUCUAUCUAAAAUGUCUUUUGGCUCAUUUGUUUUGCGUGCUCAGGUUAAACAAGUGCAAUCUGAAAUUAAGAAAGCUUCUUUUAUGGUAACAUACAGGAAAGUUCUUAUAUAUGCAGUUACCUAUGCACACAUGAUAUUGUGUUUCUAACCUCAUUUGUUCUGUGUUGCAGGUUAAGAAAUUUACAGUUUAAAAAUUAAUAAAGCAGCGAUCCCCUUCCUAUAGUCAAUAAUGCUUAUUAGGAGUCCUGAUAUUCCAAUAGUCCAGAAAUGGUUAUGUAAAAUACAUAAUAUUCACUGUUGUUGGCAUUUUCACAAUUAGCUUGCUUUUAUCUCACUGCAAUUCAUUGCUCAUGGCUUAUACUGGCUUUUCUGUUAUGAAUGUUCUCUUUCUUUAGGAAUCUGGCUACUGUUUGGUGCCAACUGCUGUGGUAAGUCAUAUUAUAUCUUGUGUCAAUAGUCUGUAUAAAUUUAUGCAUCAUUUGCACUUAUAAGCUUUUUAUUAGUGAUGGUAAUAGGGAGCGCAUGUACGUGCAGCUGUGGAAUGAUCACCCAAAUCACCUCAAUCAGAAAGGGGAGGCCAAACUAUGAUAUGGUUUAGUACCAGUUGAUGGAGCAACAGAAGGUAAUGCCUAUCUUAGUGAUUCUAAGCUCAUUUCCCCCCAAUAAGUGUUCCUUGCAAAAUGAUAUUUUGCAUCCAAUAUAAUUUAAUUCAUGGGCUUCUUUACAUCAAAUAUAUUUUGUACUGGGUUGAUGGAGUUGGCCUGUGUUUGCAUUUGAUAAUGCUUUCUUAAGAGGCUUUUUAUGACACCCGUACAUAGUAUCUUUGGCAUUUUGAAGGAUAGUUGUAUUUGGUUACCUGUAUUAUAAUUAUUCUGGAGUGAAUUAAAUCAGAAGCUAAUUUUAUCAAAAGGCAGUUUCCUUUCCUAUGAGGCUAUGAUGGCAACCAUAAUUAUGCCCGUGUGAAAUUAAAACAAGCAUUUUAGAUGCAGUUUGUGGAAAAUGUCAUUCUUUUUCCAAGCCUUGAUGCUAUCGUCAAAUUAAUAGAUGAAAUGCCUUACCUCUUAUAAAUUAAAUAUUUCUAUUGCUUAGGUUAAGACUGUUACAGUUUUUGUUGAUCGUGAUAAGGUUCCUGGUUGCAGACUGAGAUCUCCGCAAACAGAAAAUAGAUUAUCCUUUUAUAAGAAGUAGGGUACGGAUAUUCAUUUAUCUUUGGUUUUUUAGGUAGAGGUUUGUUCGCUAAAUCAUACUAAAUCAAAGACAUUUAUUUUGGGAUGGAGGGAGUACUAGAUAAGAUCAUGCUCUCUUUGUGAAGUAAACAAGAUAGUAGCACGAAAUGUUUGCUUUCCUUUUUCUUUUUCCAGUUAGAGGUAUUAGUUGAUAUUACAAAUAAAUCUUUGUUUAUUUGUAUAGUAUGUUCUCCAUUGUAAGACAAAAUCUGAAUUUCAGAUAGCUGGACAAGAUCUGUCUUACAGGUACUUGUGCAGAGAUGUUAAUUUAAGCAAUGUACUAGCAUAUUGUGUGAUGCAACAAUUUGCAAACCUAGAGUAGCCCUUCUUUGGCCUGCUUAUCGGGUCUGUUUUUGAAUGAUCAUGUUCACUAAUGUCCCUGCUUUUCUAAUGUAACUCUGUCACUAGGCCCUGAGCUGCACCUUCCUUUUGCAAGGUAUGUUGUGCGGCUGUGUUUGUGUGAUUUUGUUGCUACAUGAGUAAGUUUUGGGGAAUUGAGGCUGCAGUCAUAUUGUUAUCUGCAAUAAUAAAGGCCAAAUGAAGCUAUAAGCGGGCGCGCUUUGACGAAUGAGCUAUGACACAAUAUUUGAUAUAUUUCUCUGAGGGUCUCUGUUGUUUCUUUCAGCAGUGUGCUCUCUGGCCUCCUUUUCCUUUGCAUGCAUUACAUUUGUUAUUUCAAUCUCAUGUGUCUCUAUGCCACGAAGAUAACUAGCAAUAGAACGUGAAUAAAGUAGUACACUUCUUUGUCUGGUUGUGUACAUUGUCUGUAUUGUUUGACGCAUCCACCGCC
rnacentral:lncRNA from 1 species